rnacentral:rRNA from 1 species
CAUGGUUGUCGUCAGCUCGUGUCGUGAGAUGUUGGUUAAGUCCCGCAACGAGCGCAACCCCUACUUGUUAGUUGCCAUCAUUCAGUUGGGCACUCUAGCGAGACUGCCGGUAAUAAACCGGAGGAAGGUGGGGAUGACGUCAAAUCAUCAUGCCCCUUAUGACCUGGGCUACACACGUGCUACAAUGGUUGGUACAACGAGUUGCGAGUCGGUGACGGCGAGCUAAUCUCUUAAAGCCAAUCUCAGUUCGGAUUGUAGGCUGCAACUCGCCUACAUGAGGUCGGAAUCGCUAGUAAUCGCGGAUCAGCACGCCGCGGUGAAUACGUUCCCGGGCCUU